ACGCACGCUGGCGGCGUGCUUAACACAUGCACGUCGAACGGAAAGGCCCUGCUUUUGUGGGGUGCUCGAGUGGCGAACGGGUGAGUAACACGUGAGUAACCUGCCCUUGACUUUGGGAUAACUUCAGGAAACUGGGGCUAAUACCGGAUAGGAGCUCCUGCUGCAUGGUGGGGGUUGGAAAGUUUCGGCGGUUGGGGAUGGACUCGCGGCUUAUCAGCUUGUUGGUGGGGUAGUGGCUUACCAAGGCUUUGACGGGUAGCCGGCCUGAGAGGGUGACCGGCCACAUUGGGACUGAGAUACGGCCCAGACUCCUACGGGAGGCAGCAGUGGGGAAUAUUGCGCAAUGGGCGGAAGCCUGAUGCAGCAACGCCGCGUGCGGGAUGACGGCCUUCGGGUUGUAAACCGCUUUCGCCUGUGACGAAGCGUGAGUGACGGUAAUGGGUAAAGAAGCACCGGCUAACUACGUG
rnacentral:rRNA from 1 species